rnacentral:misc_RNA from 1 species
GAUGAAGAACGUAGCAAAUGCGAUAAGUAAUGUGAAUUGCAGAAUUCAGUGAAUCAUCGAAUCUUUGAACGCACCUUGCACCCUUUGGCAUUCCGAAGGGUAUGCUCGUUUGAGUGUCAUUGUACUCUCACACUCUCCGAUCCUAUGGAUUCGGGGAGCGGUGGACUUGGGUGUUGCUGCCUUUCCCUGUGGCUCACCUCAAAUGCGUCAGUGCACCUCUUGGUUGGACAUAGUACGGCGUGAUAAGUAUCUUCGCCGGCACCUCGCAAGAGGGUGGCCGAUCGGGAGCUCUGCGCUUUCAAACCGUCUUCGGACAAUUUCUGACAUCUUGACCUCAAAUCGAGUAGGACUACCCGCUGAACUUAAGCAUAUCAAUAAGCGGAGGA